GACGGGGGGGCAAGUGUUCUUCGGAAUGACUGGGCGUAAAGGCACGUAGGCGGUGAAUCGGGUUGAAAGUGAAAGUCGCCAAAAAGUGGCGGAAUGCUCUCGAAACCAAUUCACUUGAGUGAGACAGAGGAGAGUGGAAUUUCGUGUGUAGGGGUGAAAUCCGUAGAUCUACGAAGGAACGCCAAAAGCGAAGGCAGCUCUCUGGGUCCCUACCGACGCUGGGUGCGAAAGCAUGGGGAGCGAACAGG
rnacentral:rRNA from 1 species